rnacentral:rRNA from 1 species
ACCGGAGCUAAUACCGGAUAAUAUUCUGAACCGCAUGGUUCAAAAGUGAAAGACGGUCUUGCUGUCACUUAUAGAUGGAUCCGCGCUGCAUUAGCUAGUUGGUAAGGUAACGGCUUACCAAGGCAACGAUGCAUAGCCGACCUGAGAGGGUGAUCGGCCACACUGGAACUGAGACACGGUCCAG